GACGAACGCUGGCGGCGUGCUUAACACAUGCAAGUCGAACGGUGAAGCAGAGCUUGCUCUGUGGUUCAGUGGCGAACGGGUGAGUAACACGUGAGUAACCUGCCCUUUACUCUGGGAUAAGCGUUGGAAACGACGUCUAAUACUUGAUACGACGACCGAAGUCAUCUUCUGGUUGUGGAAAGAAUUUUGGUCACGGAUGUACUCGCGGCCUAUCAGCUUGUUGGUGAGGUAAUGGCUCACCAAGGCGACGACGGGUAUCCGUCCUGAGAGGGUGACCGUCCACAAUGGGACUGAGAGACGGACCAGACUCCUACGGGAGGCAGCAGGGGGGAAUAUUGCACAAUGGGAGCAAGCCUGAGGCAGAAACGCCGCGUGAGGGAUGACGGCCUUCGGGUUGUAAACAUCUUUUAGUAGGGAAGAAGCGAAAGUGACGGUACCUGAAGAAUAAGCACCGGCUAACUACGUG
rnacentral:rRNA from 1 species